AUGGGUGGAGCCAGGGAGCCAGGAAAUUCUUUUUCAGUUAGUGUUUGGAAAUCAACCAGUUAGGAGUUGGUUUUUAGAAUUCACUCAGUUGGAACCGUGUUUUAAAAGGAAUCCUUUUUGAGGAAAUAUAGUUAAAUUCUUCAGGAAAGGAAGGACUGAGAACUAUAUUUGUGAGCUCUAUAGUCUAGAGUAUUGUUGUUUAAAUCCCAGGAAAAGUGGAUUUAAAAGUAAAUUGUCCUGAUUGUGUUUCCUUGGUGUAGGAACUGUUGCACCCCUAGACUGCUGAGACACCUCAAAACCACACUGGAGCCCCAUACUAUAAGCAAAGCAAGUUUUACUGAAGAAUAUAUGUAAGCAAUAGCAAAUCAAAGUUCAGAGUCAAUGAAACAAGGUUUUAGUCCACCAGGUACAAGAUAGUUGAGAGUCUUGAAGUAAAAGUCCAUGGAAAUUAAACACAAGAAUAUACUUCAACAAGGUAUCAAAAUUAGUCCAAGGAACAGAAACAAAAUUGGAACAGAGAACAGGAUGUUUAACUGGAACAAGGGAUCCAAACUGCAAAUCCUUCAGGAACAAUGACUGGAUAAUCCAAAAUUCCCCAAGAACAAGGACUGAAACAAAACUCAAGAAACAAGGCUACACGAACUUGGCAUGAAAGUCCACAGGAACAUGAAACAGGAUUCUAUGAAGCAUGAAACAUAGGUUCAUAAACAAUAACAACACUCUUGAAUCUAGAAAGGUAACAUUCUUCUAUGGAAAGUAUGAACAAACUUGGUGGUGGUGUCUAUGGCUAAAUAGGCAUUUCAGCAGUUAUGGAGUUGAUGAGAGUCUGCUAUGAUUGAUGUAUCACAGGACCAAUGGGGUCAAGUUUGUUUUGACCGGGACUUUCUUUCCUGUUCCUGUGGAAUGCAGAGGAGUGUCUUCAGAUCAGAAGGUAGAGCGGCGAAGAGCAGUGUGCUGUGUGCAUGAGUCGCUUCGGCAAGCACUCAUGGAGAGAAAGACUGAUUUACUCUAUUUUGUAUAUAGUCUUGUAAAUAAAAGUUGAUUGCCGUUGGAUUUUCCAACCGAACCCUCAUCUGCUGGAGUGUGUUUGUCCAGUGCUGUUUUUCCACACCGGGAGACAGUCUGGAGAGAAGGAGGUGACGACCGGGAUGGUGAAUUUUUGGAUUUCACUCUGCUACCCAUCAUUCCCGCUGACAGUUAGAAGGUCCAGCAUUUUCAAAGAUGGGUUAAACAAAUUUAUAAUAAGCAAAGUGCUCAAAUGUUGAUCAACAAGGAACUGACUAAAUCUUGAGAAAUACAGAAAGAGACUAGACAAGGCUGUUUCUGUUGGUUAUACAGGUUUUCAAUAACAACAUAAAAAAGCAGAAGAUAUCAAAGAAGUAAAGAUAACAUGACAAAAUUAUAAGUUUGAAAGCUUUUAACAGUGAUUUUUAAAGGACCCUUUGAAUAGAAGGCCCCAUCCCUUCUGGAGUUCAGAAAAAAACUGAAGACCUGGCUAUGUACGCAGGCAUUUGAAGAAUAAGCAUGUGUUGGCUUCGACGCGGUCUGAAUUAUGGCUCUUGUAUAAAGUCUGGUGGAUGAAUGGCAUAAGCACUUAGCAUUGUUUUAAACUUUGUAUAUUUUAUUUUAUGACUGUUUUAACUGUUUUAACGUUUUAGUUCCCUGUAUAUCAGUGUAACGGCAUCAAUUGCCACUUCUAAGCCGCCCUGAGUCCCCUCGGGUGAGAAGGGCGGGAUAUAAAUAAUUGAAAUAAAUAAAUAAAUAAAUAUAAGAAGAAAUCUGAACCUUAUCCUGAAAGAAUAUGGAAGAGUAUCAGGAUUUAAAAUUAAUAAGGAGAAAACAACCAUGUUGACCAAGAGCAUAAAAAAGGGAAUAGAAACCCUUAUCUGAGAAAUUGGGUUUUCAAGCUGUACAAAAAAUUAAAUAUUGGGGUAUUAAUAUUUCUGUUAAAAACUCAAACCUGUUUAAUGACAAUUAUGAUUUAAUAUGAAAAUAAGUUAAAAUAUUUACAUAGAUGGAAAGGUCUGCAGCUAUCACUUAUAGAUAGAAUUUCAGCUAUAAAGAUGAAUGUAUGAUCAAAGUUGCUGUUAUUGUUUCAAGCCUUGCCAAUCAUACUGAAUGAUACCCCUAUUUAAACAAUGGCAAAAAGACCUAUCAACAUUUAUUUGGCAAAGAAAAAGUCCAAGGGUCAGAUUCAAAGUAUUAAAAGACAGAGAGAUAGUCUGUCAGGGAGUGGAGUGUGAGGAGAAAGAAGUGUUUGGAGCUGGUAGAAAAGAAGCUCUGUGAGGAGGAAAGUUAAAAAUAGUCUUCGGGAAGAAGUGCUAUAUAUUGUAGAGAGCCUCUAAGGAACAGAGUGCUUAUGUUAAGAGCCUCUGGAAGGGAGGACUGCGGGGUUAUUGGAAAGCCUGAUUUGUUCUCUUGUGAGGGAACAUAGUUCUAAGAAAGACAAGUUAAAGAACCAUUUUCUUUUAAGUAACCAGCUUGUUAAUCUUCUGUAACCACUACUCAACCAUCUUGUUUUAGUUCAAAUAAACUUCACAAAUCUGUUUUUACUUCACCACAAGUAUUCAGCGUGUCUUUCUGUGCAUCAAUAUAAGGAGGAGGCCUGUCUGCAUAUUAGCCAUCACUCUUUGAGUCAGAUUUUCCCUUCAUUUUUUGAGUGGCUCUAUGAACUGACUCCGGUGGUCAGUGGGAUAUAUGCUAAAAUUGAUGGCAGUGGUGGCACAUAUGUAAAACUAUACAUGAUAACAGCAGCAAUAAUUAUCUAUGCUCAAAGAUGGAAAGACUCAAUAUUCCACCACAAGAAAAUUUGCUUAUGAAAAUUAGAGAACUUGCAGAAAUAGAUUAUCAUACUAUUUUAAUUAAACUGAGAUCUCUAACUAACUUUAAGGAAGACUGGAGCCCAUUCAUUCCUCGUCCUCCGGCAAAGAUGGGGUGAAACCUCAAUCACUGCAUUUUGGAUUAGAAGAGUGUCAUUAUGUGUAGAAAAAUUGUAUCAAUAGUUCUUUUUCAUUUAAUGGGUGUAAAAAUUGAGAGAAUAUUACCACUAGACAGAGAAUGUAAAGCUCUCAGAUACAGAUAAUGUAGAUUAUAUGUACUUAAUAUUUUGUGAUGUAUAGAAUGGAAUAGUAUUAAUAUGUUUUGUUUUAUUCUAGAAAAAUAUUUUAACUUUGCUUUUGUUUGUUUAUUUCUAUAUUGGUACAGUGGAACCUCUCCUUAAGAGCAUCCCAAUUUAUGAGUAUUUUGAGUUGAGAUGGCGCUAGAAUGAUAGUACAGGACUUUAGGGCUUCAAGAGAACAGCCUUAGUGCCUCGUACUCCAUGUCUCGUACUCUUUUGGAGAUUGCUGUCCAGUUUGCUCUUGUCAGCUUUGAAAAACUUUGGGUCAGUUAUAAAGUAUAGUUUCCUAUUUAAAAGCACCUAACAAAAAAUAGGGGGAGGCAGUUCAGAAGACUGUAACGGAUCAAUAGCAUUUCAAUGGGAAAUUUUGCUUUAAGAUAAGAUCAUUUUGAGUUAAGAACUUGGUCACAGAACAAAGUAAACUUUUAAAUCAAGGUAUCACAAUAUAUAGGUUUUGUAUUAAUUUGUCUAAACAAAAGCUAUUUAAAAAAAAAGGUCCAGCAUUCUCAUUUCCUAUAUCUAUAUCUAUAUCUAGACACACACACACAAACACACACACUGUUAAGCAUACACACCAAUA